rnacentral:lncRNA from 1 species
GAUGAGAGGGUCCUCUUCGCCCUUUCACAUGAUGUCCUCAAUCUCCUAAGAGCCCUGGGGUUGCCGCUGAUAUCCUUCUUGUUCUUUCUCUUGAAUUCCUGAACAAAGUGGUUCACCAUUCUGUUGUCAAAGUCCUCACCACCAAGAUGGGUGUCACCAGCUGUGGCCUUAACCUCAAAGAUACCCUCUUCAAUGGUAAGAAGAGAGACAUCAAAGGUACCACCUCCAAGGUCAAAGAUCAACACAUUCUUCUCACCAACACUGGUGGCCUUCUUGUCAAGACCAUAGGCAAUGGCAGCUGCUGUAGGUUCAUUGAUAAUACGCAAGACAUUGAUACCAGCAAUGACUCCAGCAUCCUUGGUGGCCUGACGCUGAGAAUCGUUGAAGUAAGCAGGCACUGUGACCACUGCGUUCUUGAUGGUGGCACCAAGGUACGCCUCGGCAAUCUCACGCAUCUUGAUGAGGACCAUGGAGGAUAUCUCCUCAGCAGCAAACUGCUUCUCCUCUCCCUUGUAUUGAACUCCAAUCAUGGGCUUCUCAGCUGGGCCAGAGGUGACCUUGAAUGGCCACAACUUCAUGUCACCCUGAACUGAGGCAUCAGUGAAUCUGCGACCAAUCAAACGCUUGGCAUCUGCAACAAUAGAGAAUCAAUAAGCAUAUGGCCAUGAUAUAACAAUUGCAAGUUACAUAAAGCAGUAGCUAGAUUAGAUCUGAAACCAGAAUACUCAGGUUCACUUUUAAGCCUAAUGAUUCUAUAUUGGUUGAUUUUACUUAUAGUAAAAACACUAAUCAAAAUCAAAUUAACAUCUACUUCAGCAACUGAUUUUACAAACAUUCACUACAAUGACAAGCACAAAUCACAAUUAGCUAUCGGCAGAGUACUCUGUUCUUAUUCAAGACUGCAAGUACAACAUUAACCUGAUUUCACAAUUUAGCCAUUGAGCAUCAAUUCAACAAAGCAAGUUCAUUUUUUAAUAAUCAAUUGACCAUUCCACUUAAUUUCAGUCCGUAUAAUGAACAAAGAACCAAUCGAUUUUCUGCUCUGCUAAAGAAAUUUCAAAAUUCAGAGUACUAAGUACAGUAGAUCUAAACUAAUUUCAAAUUCAAAAUCCAAAUCAACAUCAGAGCUAUAGAUUCAAUCAUGUUUCAAUAGUCAAAAACAGCACUAAAAUUUCAAAAAUAUAAUCAGCACAGAUCUACAAAACUACUACAUCAUACAGUAUAGCACAGCCAAAUUUCCAGCAUACAAACUUCAAUACAAGAUCCAAGAUCUACUAAGAACAAGCAUACAGAUCUACUAAGCUGAAACCAAAACACUAAACGAAUCUGAGAUCUUACCAAAAACAGUGUUGAUUGGGUUCAUGGCCACCUGGUUCUUAGCGGCAUCUCCGAUCAACCUCUCGGUGUCGGUGAAAGCCACAUACGACGGCGUGGUCCUGUUCCCCUGGUCAUUGGCGAUGAUCUCAACACGGUCGUGUUGCCAUACGCCGACGCAAGAGUAGGUGGUGCCGAGAUCGAUUCCGAUGGCCGGUCCCUCUCCUUUGCCGGCCAUUUUAAGUCGACGAAGAAAUUGACAAAGGAAAAAAGGGCGGCGGGCGUUGAAGAGAGAGAGAGAAUGGAG